UGGGACCUCAUUGGGACCUCAGUUUACCCA
rnacentral:piRNA from 1 species